rnacentral:rRNA from 1 species
AUGCCAAUCGAACACGGAGAUAGCUGGUUCUCCCCGAAAUAGCUUUAGGGCUAGCGUCAUGUAAUAUAGCCAACGGGGGUAGAGCUCUGUAAACGACUGGGGCGGGCAACUGUACCCACCGUUAACAAACUACGAAUACCGUUGGUGGUACCAUGGCAGUUAGAACAUCGGGGCUAAGCUCGGUGCUCAAAAGGGAAACAGCCCAGACCAUCAUCUAAGGUCCCUAAAUUAACACUAAGUGGGAAACAAGGUGAAAUUUCUUAAACAGCGAGGAUGUUGGCUUAGAAGCAGCCAUUCAUUUAAAGAGUGCGUAACAGCUCACUCGUCAAGAGAUUUUGCGUGGAAAAUGUAACGGGGCUAAAGUGUUAUACCGAAGAUAUGGAUUUCGUUAUUCCUACGGGUUUAACGGAGUGGUAGAGGAGCGUUCCUAUCGGCAGUGAAGCUCAAUCGUAAGGUUGGGUGGAGCGUUAGGAAGUGAGAAUGCUGGAAUGAGUAACCAUAAGAAAGGUGAGAAUCCUUUCGGCCGUAAGAGCGAGGUUUCCAGGGCUACUGUAAUAAUCCCUGGGUUAGUCGGGCCUAAGCCGAGGCGUAGCAGCGUAGGCGAUGGACAUCAGGUUAAUAUUCCUGAACCGGUUAUAAUUUGUAUACUGUGUACGGUAAAUUAGUCGAAGCGGAUUAUUGGUAUAUAUCCGUCCAACUUAGCGGGAACGCAAAAGGAGUGAAAGUUAAUCUACGGAUUAACGAUUUUGAUGAAAGUACUGGCUAGAAAAGCAGAUAUACGCGUGGUUAUAGCCGCCCGUACCGCAAACCAACACAGGUGCUCGAGUCGAGUAGACUCAGGCUUACGAGAGACCCUUCGCUAAGGAACUCGGCAAAACAGCGACCGUAACUUCGGGAUAAGGUCUGCCUCCGCAUCAUUCGAUGCGAGUCGUGUUUCAAGCAAUUAGGUUAAGAUUAAUGGUAUAUAUGAGUAUCUUAAACUUCUUUACCGAGAUAGACAAGUCAAAUGGCUUAGCUUGGAACGCGGCAACCUCGUGUCAAACGAUGCGGAGGCCGCAGCAAAAGAGCCCACGGAACUGUUUACCAAAAACACAGGUCUCUGCUAACACGAAAGUGGAUGUAUAGGGGCUGACUCCUGCCCAGUGCUGGAAGGUUAAGGGGAGUGCUUUACGGUGCGAACUGAAGCCCCAGUGAACGGCGGCGGUAACUAUAACCGUCCUAAGGUAGCGAAAUUCCUUGUCAGGUAAGUUCUGACCCGCACGAAUGGAGUAAUCAUGUGGGCACUGUCUCGGCGAAGGACUCGGUGAAAGUGCAUUGGCGGUAAAGAUGCCGUCUGUCCAUGCCAGGACGAGAAGACCCCAUGGAGCUUUACUACAGCUUUACAUUGACACGGGUUACAUCAUGUGUAGCAUAGGUGGGAGGCUUUGAAGCAGAUACGCCAGUAUUUGUGGAGCCACAGGUGAAAUACCACCCUUGAUGUAGUCUUUGUCUUACCAUUGCCGUUAUCCGGUAAUGGGACCGUGUAUGGUGGGUAGUUUAACUGGGGCGGUUGCCUCCU